rnacentral:rRNA from 1 species
AGAAUAAGCACCGGCUAACUCCGUGCCAGCAGCCGCGGUAAUACGUAGGGUGCAAGCGUUAAUCGGAAUUACUGGGCGUAAAGCGUGCGCAGGCGGUUNUUUAAGUCAGAUGUGAAAUCCCCGGGCUCAACCUGGGAACUGCAUUUGANACUGCCNGGCUAGAGUGUGGUAGAGGGGGGUGGAAUUCCNNGUGUAGCAGUGAAAUGCGUAGANAUNUGGAGGAACACCGAUGGCGAAGGCAGCCCCCUGGACCNANACUGACGCUCAGGCACGAAAGCGUGGGGAGCAAA